rnacentral:lncRNA from 1 species
GAAUCGACGGGCUGGAGCUUCCGAACGGGUGGAAUCAACAACUGUUCAAGAUGGUUCCAAGGUGGUUUUCAUGUGAUUUUGUAAAUGGUACUUCACACUCCAAGAGCUGCUGUUACGAAUUUUUCACGGUGGCUUCAGCAGCGAGCUUAUGGGUGAUUCACAGCUAGUUUGGGGGUAGAGAUGGAGUCGUUUAUCUUUGGAGCAGAGAGGCGACGAUUGGGGGGAGGGUAUCAAGGUCUCAGCUGCGCAGCUUUUUUUCGUCCUCUCCCUUUUUG